rnacentral:rRNA from 1 species
UACGUAGGGGGCAAGCGUUGUCCGGAAUCAUUGGGCGUAAAGCGCGUGUAGGCGGCCAGAAAAGUCCGCUGUGAAAACUCGAGGCUCAACUUCGAGCUGUCGGUGGAAACUUUCUGGCUAGAGUCCGGAAGAGGAGAAUGGAAUUCCUGGUGUAGCGGUGAAAUGCGCAGAUAUCAGGAAGAACACCAGUGGCGAAGGCGACACGCUGGGCCGUACCUGACACUGAUGCGCGACAGCAUGGGGAGCAAACAGG